rnacentral:tRNA from 1 species
CAUUAGGUGGCUGAAAGUAAGCUCUGGUCUCUUAAACCAUUCAAUAGUAAAUCACACCUACUUCUAAUGA